rnacentral:rRNA from 1 species
GAGCGCGACCACGGAGGCAGGGAUCACCCGAUUCCAUUCCGAACUCGGCAGUUAAGCCUGCCAUCGCCGAAAGUACUGCGGUGCAGUCCGUGGGAGGAUAGGACGUCGUGCUCA